rnacentral:tRNA from 1 species
GGAGAGGUGGCUGAGCGGUCGAAAGCGGCACACUGCUAAUGUGUCGAGCCUCAAAAGGGCUCCCAGGGUUCGAAUCCCUGCCUCUCCGCCA